UCAAAAUCCAAUCAUCUAUAUCAAAUUGCCAAAAUGUCUAUAUAUUCUAUAAGUGAUAUGUGACAUACAUUACAUACAUACCAGGGAAGAAAAGAAUGUCCCUGUCUGAAAUUAAAAUGAUCAUAAACAUGAUAAUGAAUAAUACAUAUUACUUAUAUUUUUUGUCUUUUAAUUGCAGUAAAAGAAAUACCGAUCAAGUAUAUAAAACUUCUUGGGGGACCGGGUAAAUUUACUUUGAGCAAAAACUUAUUAAACGC
rnacentral:lncRNA from 1 species